rnacentral:ncRNA from 1 species
GAGGGUAGUUUAGUAUCGUGUCGUUCAAAAGAUGACAUGGCUGGUGACGAGCCGCUACCUUCCUUAUCCGUAAACCAACUUUGGAAUUGCAAUGUCCAAAACAUUAAAAUUAACAAAGGAGAAGUGCUCGUCAGUUGUGUGUGACAGGUCACUACAUAGUCGUGAGAUGUUCACGGCCGUGAAGGGUCCCAAGCCCGACAUGAGUUUCGAGAAAGUUCUCUAAUCCCGCAAGGAUAAAUUGGUGGGGCACCAUCGAAGAGUGAUAAGUACCGAGAGAGUUGCAGACAACUUAAGGAUUGGUUAAUCUAAUUGACCGUGACUGAGGGUUACCGUUCAAAAGACGGUGGAAACGAAGGGAAUCAAAUAAUCCUUCCAAAGAUCCUCACAAAAUGGUGUAUUCUCAACCU